rnacentral:rRNA from 1 species
GUGAACGCUGGCGGUAGGCCUAACACAUGCAAGUCGAACGGCAGCACAGUAAGAGCUUGCUCUUACGGGUGGCGAGUGGCGGACGGGCGAGGAAUACAUCGGAAUCUACUUUUUCGUGGGGGAUAACGUAGGGAAACUUACGCUAAUACCGCAUACGACCUACGGGUGAAAGCAGGGGAUCUUCGUACCUUGCGCGAUUGAAUGAGCCGAUGUCGGAUUAGCUAGUUGGCGGGGUAAAGGCCCACCAAGGCGACGAUCCGUAGCUGGUCUGAGAGGAUGAUCAGCCACACUGAAACUGAGACACGGUCCAGACUCCUAGGGGAGGCAGCAGUGGGGAAUAUUGGACAAUGGGCGCAAGCCUGAUCCAGCCAUACCGCGUGGGUGAAGAAGGCCUUCGGGUUGUAAAGCCCUUUUGUUGGGAAAGAAAAGCAGCAGGUUAAUACCCCGCUGUUCUGACGGUACCCAAAGAAUAAGCACCGGCUAACUUCGU